UGCAAGUCGAGCGGAGAUGAGGUGCUUGCACCUUAUCUUAGCGGCGGACGGGUGAGUAAUGCUUAGGAAUCUGCCUAUUAGUGGGGGACAACAUUUCGAAAGGAAUGCUAAUACCGCAUACGCCCUACGGGGGAAAGCAGGGGAUCUUCGGACCUUGCGCUAAUAGAUGAGCCUAAGUCGGAUUAGCUAGUUGGUGGGGUAAAGGCCUACCAAGGCGACGAUCUGUAGCGGGUCUGAGAGGAUGAUCCGCCACACUGGGACUGAGACACGGCCCAGACUCCUACGGGAGGCAGCAGUGGGGAAUAUUGGACAAUGGGGGGAACCCUGAUCCAGCCAUGCCGCGUGUGUGAAGAAGGCCUUUUGGUUGUAAAGCACUUUAAGCGAGGAGGAGGAGCUCUAGACUAAUACUCUAGAUGCUUGGACGUUACUCGCAGAAUAAGCACCGGCUAACUCUGUGCCAGCAGCCGCGGUAAUACAGAGGGUGCAAGCGUUAAUCGGAUUUACUGGGCGUAAAGCGUGCGUAGGUGGUCUUUUAAGUCGGAUGUGAAAUCCCUGAGCUUAACUUAGGAAUUGCAUUCGAUACUGGGAGACUAGAGUAUGGGAGAGGAUGGUAGAAUUCCAGGUGUAGCGGUGAAAUGCGUAGAGAUCUGGAGGAAUACCGAUGGCGAAGGCAGCCAUCUGGCCUAAUACUGACACUGAGGUACGAAAGCAUGGGGAGCAAACAGGAUUAGAUACCCUGGUAGUCCAUGCCGUAAACGAUGUCUACUAGCCGUUGGGGCC
rnacentral:rRNA from 1 species